rnacentral:lncRNA from 1 species
CCAGGGUGUGCCGAGGGUGGGAGGAGAUGCUGGCAGCCCUCCAGGGUGGAAUCUACCCUGUAACCUUGACCUAGGGAGUCAGUAGUCUGUGGUGUCAGAAGGUGGCAUUAAAUCAGAGGGCUCAGGAAUCCAUAGUCAGGAGGAACAGAAAAUCAAAAAAAAAAAAAGGAAAAAAAAAUAGAGGCUCUCUAGAAGGGGCCACUUCAGUUGGUGUUGUUUUCAUGCAGGGAGAAAGCAUUCCGCUGCCAAUAGCUCUGCAUUUAUUCAUCUGCCUCUCAAGUUCUCCCGGCCAGCACUGUGCUAGGUUUUACGGCUACUACAAAGAUGAAUGAAAGGUGUUCCCUCCCUGUUCACACCCACGCUCUUGCCUUGCAGGCCUCGCUGCUGAGCACCCGCAGCCUGAUUCCUGGUUUCCUGGGGGCCUUGGGUACAUCCAGGGAGCUCCUGGGACACCUGGAGCAGGCCGCAAGUUGGAACUGGGAUGUAAUCACCCUGCUCGUCUCCUAUGUGGACAAUGAAUGUCUUCCUCUGAGACUCAACGGUGUCACACAUGGUGGCCCCAGUGUGGCACGGCACUCCCUGUGGCCAUCUUCUUAUGCUGAGGGAAGUCAGCAGUUGAGACACAGAUUAUCAUACAGAACUUCCUGAGCAAGCAACAGGUGCACAACCCCCGGAACUGAAAGAUGAAACCAAAGUGCAAACCGUCCUUAGAAGUCAGUAAGCUGGGGGCCAGACCAGACACGGGACUGGCCAGAGAGGCUCAUGUGUCAUUAGAAGGUGACCUUCAUUAUCCGAGGAUAUUAGCCCUGUCCUUUCUGGAGUUUCAGAUUUAGUGAUAACUCCAGAAGCCACUGCCCACAGUCAGAUGGGUGUCACUUAACGGACUGUUGUUGACCACGAAUGUUGUAAUGAACACACUUGGCUGUAGGAAAAUGUAGAAGUGUCAAUUCAAGAAACAGCUGCACAUAUAAAACAUGGCAGCCUAGCCAUCUCUAAUAUAUCAUAGGCUAAUCAGCACUUUUAAAAACAAAAUAAAAGUAAUUGUUAGGAAUAUGAGUAUGAAUUAUCCCAUAGAAAGCACCUUCCAAACUGCUAGGAAACGCCCCAACAUGGAGAGCUUAGGGAAUCCCCCUGUGCCCGUUGAUGCUAGAGUGUAUAAUGGUGGUCUCUUUGGGUGGUAUACUAGUCUGCUUGGGCUGCUGUAGCAGAAUACCACAGCUUGGGUGGCUUAAAAACAGAAAUUUAUGUUCUCAUGGUUCUGGAGUUCAAGGUGCUAGCAUGGCUGGCUUCUAGUGAGGACACUCUUCCAGGGUUGCAGGGAGCCACCUUCUUGUUGUGUCCUCACAUGGCCUUUUCUCCAUGCUUGUGCACCUCUGAUGCCUUUCCUCUUCUUUGCAAGGACACCAGUACUACUGGAUUGGAGCUCCAUUCUUAUGGCUUCAUUUAACCUCCAUCACCUCCUUACAGACCCUGCCUCCAAAUACAGUCACACCAGGGUCAGGGCUUCAGUAUAUGAAUGUAGGAGGGUACGAUUCGGUCCAUAACAGGAAGCUUUGAAAACUACAGGUUCUAAUUAAAUUUCAGAAGUCAUUAGGUACCAUCUUAAAAGACCAAGUUCUUUUCUCACACUUAGAGGUCCCAGUUCUGGAAGAAAGGACCCUGGUGUUCAGAACAGCACAGAAAGCAGUGAGGCCUGGAGGUGCGCAGGCUGAGGGGAUGCUUAAGUGGGAGCUGAAAUGUGAGCACCCAGGGAUGCCUUCCAACUUCCAGCCCUAUGUCCCACCCUGACAACCCUCUCUAGCCUCACACCCGCUUUCCCCCCAAGAGUCAGACUAGAAGAGGACAGUGUUGGAGGUGUUAUUACACCUGUACAUGUUCCAUUAAUACAUGUGGAAAUAUUUCCUUAACUUCACUCUUCCCUUUCUUCCUUCUCCCACCAUAAUGCCACUAGAAUUUUUGCUUAUAUGAGUUUCAUCUACAAAGGACUCCCAGAAUGUCCACCACAUGUCAAACAUGAUUAUUGGCUGACCUCACUGACAACUUCAGAUUUCUGGAAAUUAAGAGGGAGGAAGGUUGAAUCAAGGGGUAUCUUAGGCAAUAUGUUUUGGGUGAAGAACCAAUAAAAUCAGAACAAAAUAGUUGCCAAAUUUGGAUAUUGGGAUUUAUGGGAGUCUUC